rnacentral:sRNA from 1 species
GUUGGGCGUGGUGGAGCACACCUGUAAUCCCAGCAAUGAAGAGGCUGAGGCAGGAGGAUCACAAGUCCAAAGCCAGCCUCAAGGUCCUAAGCAACUCAGUGAGACCCUGUCUCAA